rnacentral:rRNA from 1 species
UACGUAGGGUGCGAGCGUUGUCCGGAAUUAUUGGGAGUAAAGAGCUCGUAGGCGGUCUGUCGCGUCGGAUGUGAAAGCCCGGGGCUUAACUCCGGGUCUGCAUUCGAUACGGGCAGACUAGAGUGUGGUAGGGGAGAUCGGAAUUCCUGGUGUAGCGGUGAAAUGCGCAGAUAUCGGGAGGAACACCGGUGGCGAAGGCGGUUCUCUGGGCCUUACCUGACGCUGAGGAGCGAAAGCGUGGGGAGUGAACAGG